rnacentral:rRNA from 1 species
AACGACUCUCGGCAACGGAUAUCCCGGCUCUCGCGAUCGAUGAAGAACGUACGAAAUGCGAUACUUGGUGUGAAUUGCAGAAUUCCGUGAACCAUCGAGUCUUUGAACGCAAGUUGCGCCCGAAGCCAUUAGGCCGAGGGCACGUCUGCCUGGGCGUCACGC